GACGAACGCUGGCGGCGUGCUUAACACAUGCAAGUCGAGCGGUAAGGCCCUUUCGGGGGUACGACGAGCGGCGAACGGGUGGGUAACACGUGGGUGACCUGCCCUCAGCUCUGGGAGUAAGCCUGGGAAACCGGGUCUAAUACUGGAUAUGACUCCAUGACGCAUGUUGUGGGGUGGAAAGCCUUGUGCGGCUGAGGAUGGGCCCGCGGCCUAUCAGCUUGUUGGUGGGGUGAUGGCCUACCAAGGCGACGACGGGUAGCCGGCCUGAGAGGGCGACCGGCCACACUGGGACUGAGACACGGCCCAGACUCCUACGGGAGGCAGCAGUGGGGAAUCUUGCGCAAUGGGCGAAAGCCUGACGCAGCGACGCCGCGUGAGGGAUGACGGCCUGUG
rnacentral:rRNA from 1 species